rnacentral:rRNA from 1 species
CAUGGCUCAGGACGAACGCUGGCGGCGUGCCUAAUACAUGCAAGUCGAGCGAAUCAUUAGGAGCUUGCUCCUGAUGGUUAGCGGCGGACGGGUGAGUAACACGUGGGCAACCUGCCUGUAAGACUGGGAUAACUUCGGGAAACCGGAGCUAAUACCGGAUAAUCCUUUUCCUUACAUGAGGAAAAGCUGAAAGACGGUUUCGGCUGUCACUUACAGAUGGGCCCGCGGCGCAUUAGCUAGUUGGUGAGGUAACGGCUCACCAAGGCGACGAUGCAUAGCCGACCUGAGAGGGUGAUCGGCCACACUGGGACUGAGACACGGCCCAGACUCCUACGGGAGGCAGCAGUAGGGAAUCUUCCGCAAUGGACGAAAGUCUGACGGAGCAACGCCGCGUGAACGAUGAAGGCCUUCGGGUCGUAAAGUUCUGUUGUUAGGGAAGAACAAGUAUCGGAGUAACUGCCGGUACCUUGACGGUACCUAACCAGAAAGCCACGGCUAACUACGUGCCAGCAGCCGCGGUAAUACGUAGGUGGCAAGCGUUGUCCGGAAUUAUUGGGCGUAAAGCGCGCGCAGGCGGUUCCUUAAGUCUGAUGUGAAAGCCCCCGGCUCAACCGGGGAGGGUCAUUGGGAAACUGGGGGAACUUGAGAACUGAAGAAGGAAAGCGGAAUUCCACGUGGUAGCCGGUGGAAAUGCGUAGAGAUGUGGAGGGAACACCUAGUGGGCGAACGGCCGCUUUCUGGGUCAAGUAACUGACGACUUGAGGGCGCGAAAANCGUUGGGGA